CAAUAGCGUAUAUUUAAGUUGUUGCAGUUAAAAAGCUCGUAGUUGGAUUUCGGAUGGGAUUUGCCGGUCCGUCGUUACGAUGUGCACUGGCCAGUCCUAUCUUGUUGUCGGGGACUAGCUCCUUGGAUUCACCUCCUGGGACUAGGAGCUGACGAGGUUACUUUGAGUAAAUUAGAGUGUUCAAAGCAAGCCUACGCUCUGAAUACAUUAGCAUGGAAUAACACGAUAGGACUCUGGCUUAUCUUGUUGGUCUGUGAGACCAGAGUAAUGAUUAAGAGGGACAGUCGGGGACAUUCGUAUUUCAUUGUCAGAGGUGAAAUUCUUGGAUUUAUGAAAGACGAACUUCUGCGAAAGCAUUUGUCAAGGAUGUUUUCAUUAA
rnacentral:rRNA from 1 species